AACCUCUCUGCCCCGAUGGUGAUCACCUGCCCAUCAGGCAGCUCAUAGCUCUUCUCCACAGAGGAGCUGGUCUUAGCAGUCUCAAGCUCCUGCUCAUAGUCAAGUGCCACAUAGGCGAGCUUCUCCUUGAUGUCCCUUACAAUUUCCCGCUCGGCAGUGGUGGUGAAGGAGUAACCCCUCUCAGUAAGAAUCUUCAUCAGACUGUCAGUGAGAUCACGUCCAGCAAGGUCAAGACGGAGAAUGGCGUGCGGAAGGGCAUAACCUUCAUAGAUUGGCACGGUAUGGCUCACACCAUCACCAGAGUCCAACACGAUACCUGCAGGAACAACAACAUACUACCAGCUGAGAUGGAAGAACCUUAUACAUUUCAAAAUGCACUUUCAUGAAAAUGGAUAAUCACUUGCACACCUGUUGUGCGUCCACUGGCGUAGAGGGAAAGCACAGCCUGAAUGGCGACAUACAUGGCCGGCACAUUGAAUGUCUCAAACAUGAUCUGGGUCAUCUUCUCCCUGUUAGCCUUGGGGUUCAGGGGGGCCUCGGUCAGCAGCACUGGGUGCUCCUCGGGCGCGACACGGAGCUCGUUGUAGAAGGUGUGAUGCCAAAUCUUCUCCAUGUCGUCCCAGUUGCUGACGAUACCGUGCUCGAUCGGGUACUUCAGGGUGAGGAUACCCCUCUUGGACUGGGCCUCAUCGCCAACAUAGGCGUCCUUCUGCCCCAUUCCCACCAUCACGCCGGUGUGGCGCGGGCGUCCAACAAUACUCGGGAAGACAGCCCUCGGCGCAUCAUCCCCUGCGAAACCGGCCU
rnacentral:lncRNA from 1 species